GUAACAAGGUUUCCGUAGGUGAACCUGCGGAAGGAUCAUUAUUGAAAUAAACCUGAUGAGUUGCUGCUGGCUCUCUAGGGAGCAUGUGCACACUUGUCAUCUUUAUAUUUCCACCUGUGCACCUUUUGUAGAUCUGGAUAUCUCUCUGAAUGCAGCCUAGCUAGCAAUUCAGGUUUGAGGUUUGACUUUAUUGUCUCUCCUUACAUUUCCAGGCCUAUGUUUCUUCAUAUACCCCAAUGUAUGUUAUAGAAUGUAAUCAAUGGGCCUUUGUGCCUAUAAAUAUAUACAACUUUCAGCAACGGAUCUCUUGGCUCUCGCAUCGAUGAAGAACGCAGCGAAAUGCGAUAAGUAAUGUGAAUUGCAGAAUUCAGUGAAUCAUCGAAUCUUUGAACGCACCUUGCGCUCCUUGGUAUUCUGAGGAGCAUGCCUGUUUGAGUGUCAUUAAUAUAUCAACCUCUACAACUUUUGUUUGUUGAGUUGUUGGAUGUGGGGGCUUUUGCUGGCUUCUCUCUGAAGGUCAGCUCCCCUGAAAUACAUUAGCGGAACAAUCCCCGUUCAUUGGUGUGAUAACUAUCUACGCUAUUGACGGUGAAGUAGUUUGGCUUAUAACAGUCCAUUGACUUGGACAAAUUUUCAUUAAUGUGACCUCAAAUCAGGUAGGACUACCCGCUGAACUUAAGCAUAUCAAUAAGCGGAGGAAAAGAAACUAACAAGGAUUCCCCUAGUAACUGCGAGUGAAGCGGGAAAAGCUCAAAUUUAAAAUCUGGCAGUCUUUGGCUGUCCGAGUUGUAAUCUAGAGAAGUGUUAUCCGCGCUGGACCGUGUACAAGUCUCCUGGAAUGGAGCGUCAUAGAGGGUGAGAAUCCCGUCUUUGACACGGACUGCCAGGGCUUUGUGAUGCGCUCUCAAAGAGUCGAGUUGUUUGGGAAUGCAGCUCAAAAUGGGUGGUAAAUUCCAUCUAAAGCUAAAUAUUGGCGAGAGACCGAUAGCGAACAAGUACCGUGAGGGAAAGAUGAAAAGAACUUUGGAAAGAGAGUUAAACAGUACGUGAAAUUGCUGAAAGGGAAACGCUUGAAGUCAGUCGCGUUGGUCAGGGAUCAACCUUGCUUUUGCUGGGUGUACUUUCUGGCUGACGGGUCAGCAUCAAUUUUGAUCAUUGGAAAAAGAUCAGGGGAAUGUGGCAUCCUUGGAUGUGUUAUAGCCCUUGGUUGUAUACAAUGGUUGGGAUUGAGGAGCUCAGCACGCCGCAAGGCCGGGUUUUUACCACGUACGUGCUUAGGAUGCUGGCAUAAUGGCUUUAAUC
rnacentral:rRNA from 1 species